AAUAUUUUAUUUUGUUUCCCAGGAAUGUGCAUGUAAUGUAAGUACAUAAGUACUGCCGCUAGGGGAGCUGUUACGUCAAUUAGGUGAGUUAGUGAUAUAUUUAACGUUUCUUCUUCAUGAUGGAGAUUGACUAGUUCUGAAAACGAACAUUUCUCCGUCUCAUCAUUUUACCCUAUUAAUUCAGAUGUAUGGUGACUACACGUUUGGAUGAACAGACCAACGGGACUGCCAUUGGCAAGUCCCUUGACGGGUACCAGGAAUGGUGGAAGGACAAUCUGAAGGUAAUUAUCUUUUCACACAACACAGCAGUGUCCAGGCCUCCAGAGUAUUGACUAUAUCGCCUGCUAUAUGGAGGGGAGCCGCAGCAGUUAACUGAGUUGUCAAACCAGAUCAGAACGCCUUCGAAGACCACCUUCAGGCACGGACUGAGAAGGAUGUGGAGGUUUUUGACCAGGUGAGACUGAACAUGGACAGGGUGCAUGAGAACGAGAGCCACCUGAGAAGAAUCAAGAGGACCAAGUGCUUCGACAUCUGGGUGAAUGACUUGGCUUUGAAGAAGGACGAAGGGAAGGCGAGACCCAGGAAAGCUUGGUGCUCUUUCGCUCCUAGCUGGGGUCAACAUCCGUUAAGGGAUCAUCCCUUACCAACUCCACUGACAUCAAAAGACGGCUAUCCUUUCUUUUCUGUCUGCCAUUAACAUUAUUGCAUGUCUAAUAAAACAUUUUAAAUUAAAUCAUUCAAUAAUUGUUAUUACAUACCUGAAUCAUUUAACCUGUGUGUUUGCUUGUUUACGUCUGUCUCCUACCCUGUUCCCUUUUCUCUGCUCCUGUUCUCCAGGACCUAUGGGUUCUGCCUAACACCCAGACAUGGAUCCAUCUCAUGUCUUCCAUUACCAUCCACCCUCCAACUUUUCAUUACAUCAGCUACUGUUAUUGUCAUGUUGUCAUUAUCUGCUAAGAAAGAGCAAGACAACUAUCAUAUUGGGCACAUAAUGUGAGCUGCACAGAUUAGCUAAAAACACUAGCACUGCAAACACUCAGAACAAAGAGGGCUGCAGCGCCUGGACUUUGCACUUUCCCUCUGAGUCCACUACCUGCUGAAAACAAGUGACAGGCAGAACCUCCCAUCCACACAAAACCCACUCUAUUCCACACACCAGAAUUCUGUAUUUCAGUCUUAUUGCCAUGUGAGUGUACAAAAAAUCUGAAAGUAAAUUGACACACAUGUACCAACAUAAUAUCAAUGGUUAUGUAUUUAAAUAAAAAAUAUUGCUAUAUUGGUUUUCA